GUUGUUGAUACCAUGCUGACAAAUAAAAUUACAUUUAAUUUAACUGCAUAUAGGAAAGUUGUGCAUGAUUAAGCUUUUUUUUUUUUAAAUGUGGUGUAAAUUCUAUAAAGAAAAAAAUAUAUCUAUACAUUUGUCUGUCUGACUCAAAUGUCUUAUUACACUGGCCAUAAAAAAAAAAAUCCUUAAUUCUUUUUCUUGGUUGUCCAUGGAUACUGAGUGGAGAUGCAUCUUCAAAGGGUUCCUCACAUUCAUUUGCAUUUCUUGUGCUAAUAAAAGUGCUAUCAGCACUCCCCGCCCCUUAGCUACUCCCACAGCCCUGCUUUGUCUCGCCCUUUUUUUCACCUCCAGUCACUUGGGAGCAAGAGCCACCGGGAGCCUCACUAAUUGGGCUAGCAACAAAGGACUGAAGCAACCCUAAGGCCUUAGUGCUCCAGAAGUGAGCUGAAAAACACAGCUAUUGAAGGAAGGAGUGAAUGUUGCAUCUUUGCUCUUAUCCAUGCCUGGGCAGCACAAUCCCAUGUGAACUCAGAAGGAGAAGGGAGAGAAGAAAGCAGUAUGAUGGCAAAAGGGCUAAUCAGUGGAGAAAUGUGCUGUGCUUUUUUUCUUUGCCCACUGCACAACACUGAGGUUCACAGAAAAUAUAGCAGGGAUCUGAGUGUGUGCCAGGAAUGCUUGUCUUGCUCUCUCUGUGGAGUGACACUGACGACUCUCUUCUGACACUCCUCUGGGGUGGCCCUCUCAUCCAUCCAUGCACUUGUCUGCCGUGUUGACAAAGCUUUGCAGGUCUCUCUCCAUCAACACCACCACCUGACAGCGCUGCGUUUUACGCGGCAUGGAAGACUGUUGCGG
ensembl:lncRNA